rnacentral:piRNA from 1 species
UGAGCUUAAGUGGCACUGCGGACAAGAAC